rnacentral:rRNA from 1 species
GACGAACGCUGGCGGCGUGCCUAAUACAUGCAAGUCGAACGCAGUGGGGACGGGUGAGUAACACGUGGGUAACCUCCCAUCAGAGGGGAUAACACUUGGAAACAGGUGCUAAACCGAUACUGAUGGAUGGACCUGCGGUGCAUUAGCUAGUUGGUGAGGUAACGGCUCACCAAGGCCACGAUGCAUAGCCGACCUGAGAGGGUGAUCGGCCACACUGGGACUGAGACACGGCCCAGACUCCUACGGGAGGCAGCAGUAGGGAAUCUUCGGCAAUGGACGAAAGUCUGAUCCAGCCACGCCGCGUGAGUGAAGAAGGUUUUCGGGUCGUAAAGUUCUGUUGUUAGAGAAGCGUUAUCUAACCAGAAAGCACCGGCUAACUACGUGCCAGCAGCCGCGGUAAUAC